rnacentral:rRNA from 1 species
CCCUUAGAUGUUCUGGGCCGCACACGCGCUACACUGAUGGCUUCAACGAGUUUUCUACCUUGGCCUAGCGGUCUAGGUAAUCUUUGAAAGGCUAUCGUGCUGGGGAUUGAGCAUUGGAAUUUUUGCUCAUGAACGAGGAAUUCCUAGUAAACGCGAGUCAUCAGCUCGCAUUGAUUACGUCCCUGCCCUUUGUACACACCGCCCGUCGCUCCUACCGAUGAAUGGUCCGGUGAGGCUUACGGAUUGGCCUUGGGUUUCUGGCGACAGUUCCCUUGGCCGAGAAGUGAUCCUAACCUUAUCAUUUAGAGGAAGGAGAAGUCGUAACA